AGCAGCCGCGGUAAUUCCAGCUCCAAUAGCGUAUAUUAAAGUUGUUGCAGUUAAAAAGCUCGUAGUUGAAUUUCGGGAUCGAAUUGUUGGUCGUGCUUCGGUACGUACUGGCAUUAUUGGUUCCUACCUUCUGAAGAACCGCGAUGUCAUUAAUUUGGUGUCGUGGGGAAUCAGGACUGUUACUUUGAAAAAUUAGAGUGUUUAAAGCAGGCGCACGCUUGAAUACAUUAGCAUGGAAUAAUGAAAUAGGACGUUUGAUUCUAUUUUGUUGGUUUCUAGGAUCGACGUAAUGAUUAAUAGGGAUAGUUGGGGGCAUUAGUAUCCAAUUGUCAGAGGUGAAGUUCUUGGAUUUAUUGAAGACUAACUACUGCGAAAGCAUUUGCCAAGGAUGUUUUCAUUAAUCAAGAACGAAAGUUAGGGGGAUCGAAGACGAUCAGAUACCGUCGUAGUCUUAACCAUAAACUAUGCCGACUAGGGAUCGGAUGAUGUAAUUUUUUAAUGACUCAUUCGGCGCCUUACG
rnacentral:rRNA from 1 species